rnacentral:rRNA from 1 species
GUAGGUGGCAAGCGUUGUCCGGAAUUAUUGGGCGUAAAGCGCGCGCAGGCGGUUCUUUAAGCCUGAUGUGAAAGCCCACGGCUCAACCGUGGAGGGUCAUUGGAAACUGGAGAACUUGAGUACAGAAGAGGAAAGCGGAAUUCCACGUGUAGCGGUGAAAUGCGUAGAGAUGUGGAGGAACACCAGUGGCGAAGGCGGCUUUCUGGUCUGUAACUGACGCUGAGGCGCGAAAGCGUGGGGAGCAAACAGGGAUUAGAUACCCUGGUAGUCCACGCCGUAAACGAUGAGUGCUAAGUGUUAGGGGGUUUCCGCCCCCUUAGUGCUGCAGCUAACGCAUUAAGCACUCCGCCUGGGGAGUACGGCCGCAAGGCUG